GUGUGGCUGAAGGGCUGGUUAAUGAAGACACCCUCAAACCAUUGUUAAAGGAGCCCUAAGAAGCCCCUCGGCCUUCAUCUUUGGUUCAGUUCCAGCAGCAUUAAAUCGAGCACCUGGCUGUACGCAACAAUUUCUGCCACAGUCACUCAGACCUGCUCGGAGUUCAACUAGGUGGACAGUCAGACACAGGAUUUCCAAAAAAGACACCCAGCUGCACUCCUAACACAGGAAGAAGAAGAAAAAAAAACAGUGGCUACCGUUUCCUUUGCUACUUGCCUUGAUGUUCAGAAAUGACUUUCUUAAAUUAUGAAAAGCAGUAUCUGGACAUCACAUUCUGCUGGCCUUUGCUUUUUUAAGCAGGCUCUUAAGAGAGUCUAAUGAACAAAGUUGGUCUAAUUCAGUGUGUCAUUUCCAGACUAACUCUUCUGACCUUCAAGCAUUCUUGCAAGAGUUUGCCUGGAAAGAAGUCAGAUUCAGUAAAUCCCUGUGCCAGAUUCAGCCAUUCUGGAGAUUUUUAAGGAGAAGCUGGGAAGAUGUUUUUGUAUCCAGCUAUGAACUUGUUCUUCCAAGAAGGGCAGAGAGCUGGGCUGGAGUCAGACUUUUUUUUU